UGGGGAAUAUUGCACAAUGGGCGAAAGCCUGAUGCAGCGACGCCGCGUGAGGGAUGACGGCCUUCGGGUUGUAAACCUCUUUCAGCAGGGACGAAGCGCAAGUGACGGUACCUGCAGAAGAAGCACCAGCUAACUACGUGCCAGCAGCCGCGGUAAUACGGAGGGUGCAAGCGUUAAUCGGAAUUACUGGGCGUAAAGCGCACGCAGGCGGUCUGUCAAGUCGGAUGUGAAAUCCCCGGGCUCAACCUGGGAACUGCAUCUGAUACUGGCAAGCUUGAGUCUCGUAGAGGGGGGUAGAAUUCCAGGUGUAGCGGUGAAAUGCGUAGAGAUCUGGAGGAAUACCGGUGGCGAAGGCGGCCCCCUGGACGAAGACUGACGCUCAGGUGCGAAAGCGUGGGGAGCAAACAGG
rnacentral:rRNA from 1 species